ensembl:lncRNA
CCUUGAAAUAACAGAUGCCAGUAUGUCUUGUAUGCACUUGGACAUGUUCUCCAUGCUCCCUCCUUUCCUCCACACAUCCUCCGCCUUGGUGCAAACCCCUGAAGCAGGGCUGGAGGCGUCGCGGCCAGGAGGAAGCUGCUGCUCAGAAGGCGAGGCGCUGAGGCCCAGUCCGCUGUCUUCAGAAAGGAGGGACGGGAACGCGGCCACUUCGGUUCCCACCUCCUGAGCAUCCUGUCCAUUGAGGGUUACUGCAACUUCUUGGAUUUUAUCGUCACCGCUUUGGUUAUCAGGCCCAUCGUUCUUGAUGUCGGUCACUGCAAGCGGCUAGUGCGAAGAAAGUGUGUGCACGUGGUAAGAAAGUAUUCAAGCAGCGAAGACUACAGACAUGAUAGAAAACUGACAUUCGUAACAACAACAAAAACAUGAUCACACCUUUGUUUCCUUUAUAUCCUGUAUCUGUGACUCCAUGUCCAUGUCCAUAUAGUUCACAGGCAUCUGGAUCUUACUCAGAACUUUAAAACAUGCUCGAAGGGUCUGUGUAAGCGCCGCUAGGCUGAGAGAUGCCAUGUGAGCUGAUAAAGACUGCAGCAUGCUACCCAGCAUCUGGGGCAGGUACUGUGUUUGGAUAUCAGCAUAAAGCUCCUUUGGAACAAUAGAUAAGAAAAUAAAGAAAAAGAGACCUAGUAUAGAAACAGAGCAAGCAAACUCUACCCAGUUAUAAUGCAGCUAAAUUAUGGAGGUUUAAUGGCUAAUAGAGAAUGUUUGGAGUAUACGUGUAGAGCGGUGUAAGAGAAAAAACACAAACGUGACAAAUACCAAAGGGAUAACAUCAAGGACGAAGAUUAUGAGGGAUGAGAGCUCCGUCACGGAUGGAGAAGGACUCCAGUCUUUAGCUGAAGACGUCCCUGUAGGGUCACUUAACCCGCUGAAAGACAGGUUUACAUCAUAUUAUCACUCUCGUGUAUACUUGUGUGUGUGUGUGUGUGUGUGUGUGUGCGUGUGCGUACCUCAGACAGGUGUGGAAGCGUUUGGUCAUGUAGUCCAGAAGGUAUUCACUGCUCAUGGCUCCCACCAACAUAUUGACCGUCUUUACGAUCUCAGAAACAUGUUUGUUCUCUUUGAUUGUACUGCAUAAACAAAGAGACCGACAAUAAUAUUUCAUUCCUGCGCUCUCGGAAAUAAAGCUUUUCCUUCCCGCUGGUGUGGUACCGUUACAGGUACGUGUACUGCACUUAUGUAUUGUUCACCUGGAUGACUAUAGUAUCCCUUUAAAAAUCAGUUAAGGUAAAAAUUUGGGCCUUUUGGUCCUUUUAGAAUGCACUUUCUCAGGUAAAAGAUGCAUACUAAAGGUAGAGAUUAUGUACUCUUGCUGCAACCACCCCAGCAACAAGGAAAAGUGCAGUUCAGUAGCUUUACUUCUUUUAUUUCAUUCUGACCUUGCGAGCUGCUUGCCAGAGUGACUGGAGUUAAGCGAGUCCUCUCCCAGCAACUCUCUACAGUAACUAGAAAAGGCCCUGAUCACCUCCAACAACACAUCCGACAUGACCAGUGAGAGAGAGAGAGAGAGAGAGAGAGAAGGAGAAAGAAAAAGAGAAAGAAAAA